rnacentral:rRNA from 1 species
UACGAAGGGGGCUAGCGUUGCUCGGAAUCACUGGGCGUAAAGGGUGCGUAGGCGGGUUUUUAAGUCAGAGGUGAAAUCCUGGAGCUCAACUCCAGAACUGCCUUUGAUACUGAAGAUCUUGAGUUCGGGAGAGGUGAGUGGAACUGCGAGUGUAGAGGUGAAAUUCGUAGAUAUCAGGAGGAACACCGGUGGCGAAGGCGGGACUCUGGGCCGAUACUGACGCUGAGGAGCGAAAGCGUGGGGAGCAAACAGG